rnacentral:rRNA from 1 species
CAGUCGAGCGAAUGGAUUAAGAGCUUGCUCUUAUGAAGUUAGCGGCGGACGGGUGAGUAACACGUGGGUAACCUGCCCAUAAGACUGGGAUAACUCCGGGAAACCGGGGCUAAUACCGGAUAACAUUUUGCGCUGCAUGGCGCGAAAUUGAAAGGCGGCUUCGGCUGUCACUUAUGGAUGGACCCGCGUCGCAUUAGCUAGUUGGUGAGGUAACGGCUCACCAAGGCAACGAUGCGUAGCCGACCUGAGAGGGUGAUCGGCCACACUGGGACUGAGACACGGCCCAGACUCCUACGGGAGGCAGCAGUAGGGAAUCUUCCGCAAUGGACGAAAGUCUGACGGAGCAACGCCGCGUGAGUGAUGAAGGCUUUCGGGUCGUAAAACUCUGUUGUUAGGGAAGAACAAGUGCUAGUUGAAUAAGCUGGCACCUUGACGGUACCUAACCAGAAAGCCACGGCUAACUACGUGCCAGCAGCCGCGGUAAUACGUAGGUGGCAAGCGUUAUCCGGAAUUAUUGGGCGUAAAGCGCGCGCAGGUGGUUUCUUAAGUCUGAUGUGAAAGCCCACGGCUCAACCGUGGAGGGUCAUUGGAAACUGGGAGACUUGAGUGCAGAAGAGGAAAGUGGAAUUCCAUGUGUAGCGGUGAAAUGCGUAGAGAUAUGGAGGAACACCAGUGGCGAAGGCGACUUUCUGGUCUGUAACUGACACUGAGGCGCGAAAGCGUG